rnacentral:lncRNA from 1 species
AUUCCAUUGUCUUCACUAGCAUUUUUUUAAACUCUUCCAGCACUUCCCAAACAAAUGGUUUGCUUGUUUAAAUAGGAACUUCCCUAAAGACUCUUCAGUUGUUCAAUGGAAAGCAUCAGGAGACAGUUCGCACCAUAAGAUUCUUUGAAUCCUUCUCCUCAAAAUCCUAGUCUUACUGCUUCCACCAAUGCUGGACUUUUGUAAACCCCUGCAUUGAAAGACCUGCCUUAAAUCAAACUUCCAAAUUCUCACUGACAAAGCCUUUCAAGAUGGUCUUCUCCUUUAGCGGCUAAUGAGAAACAGGCUGUCUGGAAAUGUGUCUCGGAGGAAAAUACGGAGCAGAUCUUUAGAAAAUAAAGCUCUCUAGAUUGAUUGAAAAGAUAACAUUUGGUAACACGUUGUAAGCAAAACAUAAUAUCAAGGUGAAAAGAAGGCAAAUCAGAUAUAAAAUUCACUUGGAUGUGUCAACUUGAACUUUGGACGGAGCAAGUAAAGAUAUUGCGAUUUUGGAAAAAAUGUAAUGAAGUAUGAUGGAAAAUUGUCAGGAAUUUAAAAAUGUUUUCCAUUUGAUUGCUGAAGAACAUGAGUUUUGAAGACAUCGCAUAUGGUAUGCAGGUUGUAGAUCCUGUAAAGAACUGGAGUAUAGAAAAAUAACUUUGUCAUCACCCUGGAAGGAUGCUACCACUGGUGCCACCACUACUACUAUUAUAAUUUCACAUUUUCAUAGCACUUUCUCUUUCCAUGGCUUCUAUUGCCCCCAAUAUGUUAUAAAAGAGAACCAGACCUUUCCUUGUGAGCUUUUGUAUGCUUGAUCUCAUUUGCACUUCACAGUUACUUGAUAAAGGUACAGCAGGUAAUAUCAACAAUAUUUCAGUGGCGGCUCUAAGAGGUUAAAUAAAUUACUUCAUCAGGAGUUCUAGGUUAGUAACAGAAAUCUGCUGAUUUCUACAUUUCUGAUCCAUAAAUGGCCAGUGGAUCCAAAUUUAUGGGCCUUGGACCUUCGGAGUUCUAUAGACUUAUUUCAAACAGGUUUAUAUCCAUACAUAUAUGUCUGUAAACUGAAUACAUAUCACAUUCAUAUCUUUAUGAGUAUUUUUCAAUGUGGUAGGUAAAAU